rnacentral:rRNA from 1 species
GACGAAGGUGGCGAGCGUUGUUCGGAAUCACUGGGCAUAAGGCGCACGUAGGCGGCGGCGUAAGUUGGAUGUGAAAUCCCCCGGCCCAACCGGGGAACUGCGUCCAGUACUGCGUUGCUUGAGGAUCCAAGGGGUGCAUGGAAUUCCCGGUGGAGCGGUGAAAUGCGUUGAUAUCGGGAGGAACUCCGGCGGCGAAAGCGGUGCACUGGUGGAUUACUGACGCUGAGGUGCGAAAGCCAGGGGAGCAAACGGG